GGGACACGUGGUAUCCUGUCUGAAUAUGGGGGGACCAUCCUCCAAGGCUAAAUACUCCUGACUGACCGAUAGUGAACCAGUACCGUGAGGGAAAGGCGAAAAGAACCCCGGCGAGGGGAGUGAAAAAGAACCUGAAACCGUGUACGUACAAGCAGUGGGAGCACGCUUCGGCGUGUGACUGCGUACCUUUUGUAUAAUGGGUCAGCGACUUAUAUUCUGUAGCAAGGUUAACCGAAUAGGGGAGCCGAAGGGAAACCGAGUCUUAACUGGGCGUUAAGUUGCAGGGUAUAGACCCGAAACCCGGUGAUCUAGCCAUGGGCAGGUUGAAGGUUGGGUAACACUAACUGGAGGACCGAACCGACUAAUGUUGAAAAAUUAGCGGAUGACUUGUGGCUGGGGGUGAAAG
rnacentral:rRNA from 1 species